rnacentral:rRNA from 1 species
GGGUGCGAUCAUACCAGCACUAAUGCACCGGAUCCCAUCAGAACUCCGAAGUUAAACGUGCUUUUGCGAGAGUAGUACUACGAUGGGUGACCUCU